ensembl:lncRNA
CAAAGGGGGAAGAGAGCUUAGCAAAAACAAGACCUAGCCCGGCACUGCAGCGAGGUGGCUGUUUGACUCCGGUGCGAUGCUGGCACAGGUGACCCAGCAAAGACCUGAGCCCCGCUCCCCAGGAGCCAGCACUGUGUUGAGGCAAUAGGCGCGUGCUCUGAUCCAGAGCACUCCCAAUGCUUGCACAGCAGCAGAGUGGGGCCCGAAUGGUGCCCUGCCCUGGGAGCAGCUGGCUCCGGGUGAGGCUGUGGUCUGAGAGACCCCGGUUCCUAUUGAUGGAGGUUUUCAGCUCACAGAGCUCAGUGAGAGGCACACCGGGCUUCAGCUGAGCACAUCCCACAGCAGCAGUGACCUUGUGGGUGAGGGUCUGCGGUGCCAUUGCUGCACCCUGAUAGGAAACACUGCCUCGCAAAGACCCCACAAGACAGGAGGGACUGCGGGGUCUGAAACUGCUUCCAGUAGUGGCGAGCGGCGGCCUCCUGCCGAGUUCAAAAGGCAAAACAUCUCAUUUGGAGCAGGGCGGACUGUAUAUCACCCUGCGCAUAAAGUGGAGCUCUUCUAUUAAAAGUUGAGUUCGGGUUUCAGGACUCAAUGUGAAUUAUUGCUUUCUCCUCCCGGCCCUCUGGCUGCACCGAGCACACACGCACCGCGCGCUUCGGAUGGAAGCAGCAGCCCUUCUCACCGGGCUCCAUCUCUCCGGCUCGGAGGAUCCGAGCGCUGUCCGCGUCCCUCCCCUCGCUGCUUUCCUUGGCCCGUUGCUGCGCAGGGUAGGAACGUUUGCGCCAUUUCCUGUUGUCUCUCUCUUCUGCUCCUGAGAUAUUGUAAAAAUGUUCGAAGUACAAACCGAAGCUUGCACUGCAGCGUCUUCAUCUCUUCCAUCAGACGGUGGUGUUCCUGCUGUGCUCUCUCCUCGUGCACAUUUCUGGAGCAGCUCUCACUUACACCAGGAGAGCCUUUACCCCAUGAAAGCAGAGGAUGCAAUUCGGAGGGGAUGCGGCCGUGGGUCACCGUGGCAGUGGCACAGCUGGUGCCUGCCCGUCCCUCUGGGUCAGCACUGCUGCAGGGGCUGACCCCAUCUCUGACUCCUUCUGGGGAUUUCAGCUCUGGAUUUCAGUUUCCCUUUGUGUGACAGUGUCCUGUAUGAGCCGGAUGCCACAGCACGGCCACACUGUGCCCGUGGGGACUGUCCC